GAUGUUUUGGGCGAUGUCCGGGUCAAAUUUGUAACGGUGGAUCACAUUUCAUCGCGUAUGUAAGAAGGAGACACCGGAGAAGAGACCGUCGUUGUAUCAGACGGACGGGAUGUUAGCCGCGAUCCACAUGCACAUGAACAGCCACGAUAUCGGGCGUUUUGAAGCAUCGCAGUUGGGAAUCUUCCUGCAAUGUCCGUGAAACGGUGGAUUGGAUCUCCACGAUGUUUUCCCUUUCAAAGCGACGUAGCCUCUGUUGAAGGUUAAAAUGUAUAUCUUCAGUACAUGAAGUGUCAAUCUGGUGACCUGUACUCCUGGCCUGAUGGCGAGGCACAAUUCUACCUCUCUCCAUUUUGUGACAUUGACAGAAUCCUCUUCCAAACUGACACAGUUGUCAUUGGGUCACCGAUCUUCUUGAAGUUCAUAAACUUGUAACCUGAAUGCAGAGAGAAAUAUUGCAUGUUAUUUCUAAUAGUCAAGUUUAGUGUACAGUGUUAGUGUAAUACAUUUUUUACAUUUGCCAGUAAGAAGUUUACCAUAUAGUUUUUAACUAAAGGAAAAGAUUGUACUUUGCAGUUUUAUACUUGAACAUUUAUUAGAAUAGCUUAGUAGAAAUAGUACAUUUUACUUUCUCAUUCACAAUUCUAUGUUAAAACAACAGGUGUAAUUUUUUUUAUUCAAUUUGUCCACUAAGUACUUUACAAUUGUCCUUUUGGCAUGCUGGAACUUAAUGUUUUAUCCAAUGCAUCUAUUCCAGUGAUGACAUGAUUAUAUUUUAAUUAAAGUCACUUAGAACUACAUUUACCAUGUAACUGAGGUAAAACAAAUUAGAGUAAACAAAUUGAACAAGUUAUAUGUGUAAGGUAUUAAUGCAGUGUCCAUGAAUUGCAUGCCAACUUUGUCUUGUUUUGUCUUGAAAAACCAUAGCUUAGAAGAACUAAACUAGUACCUUUUCCCUACAUCUUUUUCACCCGAGUAUUGUAUCAAAGGUAUCAAAAUUAUAAUCGUGUACAUGUAUGAAUAAAAAAAAAAUUUACCUGUUCAUUGAUAUGCAUUUCAGAAGCUUGCCUGUAGAUGUUGUAUUUCUACACUUGAGUAAGAUGAGUUAACUCGCAUUUAGUGUGUUGAUAAGUAGAAUGUUAAGUCAUACUAUUCAAUAUGACCAUUACAAGGACAUGAUGUCCAUGUAACGGUGGUAUGUACAUUUGAAAGUGAUAUCUUGAAGGAGAUAUUUUAAAGUAAUAAAAGAUUUGGAGAUCAUAAGCUAGCACUCUUGUUUUUUUUUCCCUUUAGACAGAAACAUAUGUUUCCAGAGAUAGACAGAAGUGGAACCUUGAGGAUUACCGUAGUAUUAUUUUAAAUAUAAUUUAUCAAUAAUUUUGUACAUUUUUCCUUGUUUAAACUCUAAUUUAAAUUGCUUUUAUUUGCAAAGAAUUUGACAUGAAAAAUGUUUUUCUUUGGUAUAAUAAAUUGAUCUUGUGCAAAUAUUCUAAGGCAUAAAGUGGAAUUUGGUGUGUAUUGGCCAUUAAUGGACCUUAACUUAACAAUGCUUCAAAGUAUACCUCUGUUACUGAGACAUGAUGUCCAUGUAACGGUGGUAUGUACAUUUGAAAGUAAUAUCUUGAAGGAGAUAUUUUAAAGUAAAAAGAUUUGGAGAUCAUAAGAUAGCACUGUUUCGUUUUUUCCCCUUUAGACAGAAACAUAAAUGUUUCCACAGAUAGACGGAAGUGGAAACUUGAGGAUUACCGUAGUAUGAUUUUAAAUAUAAUUUGUUAAUAAUUUUGUACAUUUUUCCUUUUUUAAACUCUAAUUUAAUUUGCUUUUAUUUGCAAAGAAUUUGACAUGAAAAAUGUUUUUCUUUAGUAUAAUCAAUUGAUCUUGUGCAAAUAUUCUAAGGCACAAAGUGGAAUUUGGUGUGUAAUGGCCAUUAAUGGACCUUAACUUAACAAUGCUUCAAAGUAUACCUCUGUUACUGAGACAUGAUGUCCAUGUAACGGUGGUAACACCAAACAUAGAAGGUUAGGCCAGAAAGAGUAAUUGAGUUUUUCCAAAGAGAAUAUUCCAUUCUGUUGAGGCAUGACUUCUCUCAACUAUUUAGUUCUACAUGCCAUCAUAAAUUCAAUUUUCUA